rnacentral:rRNA from 1 species
CUUGAACGCUGGCGGCAGGCUUAACACAUGCAAGUCGAGCGGGGUGAUGGUGCUUGCACUAUCACUUAGCGGCGGACGGGUGAGUAAUGCUUAGGAAUCUGCCUAUUAGUGGGGGACAACAUCUCGAAAGGGAUGCUAAUACCGCAUACGUCCUACGGGAGAAAGCAGGGGAUCACUUGUGACCUUGCGCUAAUAGAUGAGCCUAAGUCGGAUUAGCUAGUUGGUGGGGUAAAGGCCUACCAAGGCGACGAUCUGUAGCGGGUCUGAGAGGAUGAUCCGCCAAACUGGGACUGAGACACGGCCCAGACUCCUACGGGAGGUAGCAGUGGGGAAUAUUGGACAAUGGGGGGAACCCUGAUCCAGCCAUGCCGCGUGUGUGAAGAAGGCCUUAUGGUUGUAAAGCACUUUAAGCGAGGAGGAGGCUCUUUUGGUUAAUACCCAGAAUGAGUGGACGUUACUCGCAGAAUAAGCACCGGCUAACUCUGUGCCAGCAGCCGCGGUAA